UACGAAGGGUGCAAGCGUUACUCGGAAUUGCUGGGCGUAAAGGGUGCGUAGGUGGUUUUUUAAGUCCGUUGUGAAAUCCCUGGGCUCAACCUGGGAAUGGCAGUGGAUACUGGAAAGCUAGAGUGCGGUAGAGGGUAGUGGAAUUCCCGGUGUAGCAGUGAAAUGCGUAGAGAUCGGGAGGAACACCAGUGGCGAAGGCGGCUACCUGGACCAGCACUGACACUGAGGCACGAAAGCGUGGGGAGCAAACAGG
rnacentral:rRNA from 1 species